UCAAACUUGGUCAUUUAGAGGAAGUAAAAGUCGUAACAAGGUUUCCGUAGGUGAACCUGCGGAAGGAUCAUUAACGAAUUUCAGGAGUUGUGCUGGUUCUCACAAGUGCACGCUCCUUACAAUUCCAUUCACACCCCUCGUGCACUUUAAGAGACGCAUUUCCCCCGUUUACGUGCCUUUAUCGGCUUGGGAUUUCGUCUGUUUCACACACUCUUUGUAUUAGAAUGUAAUCUAGCGGAAACGCUGAAACAUAAUAUAACUUUCAACAACGGAUCUCUUGGUUCUCGCAUCGAUGAAGAACGCAGC
rnacentral:misc_RNA from 1 species